ensembl:lncRNA
CAUGGUUCAGUUUUGUCAUUUACCAUUUUAAAUGCCCAAUCUAUUGAAUCCAAGUUCUCUGGAUUCUGUCUGUCUGUUUUUAGCAUUCAUCAACUAGGGAAAAUAAAAUAAAAAAAAAAAAAUCUUAAAGUGAUACCAAUGAUAUCGUUCCUCUAUCUUUAUCGUUGUGCUGUGGACUUCUGGACUUCUCGACUCUCAUACAAUUAAAACAAUUAUUCUCAAAACUUCUGUCAUAUCUUUAAUCAGGCUUUUGACUGACAACCACAAAGUGUCUAUAAUUACAAAUUAAAACAUGAAAAAGCCAAACUAAAACAUAACAAAUCCCAAAAUGGCAGAUCCACAAUUUUAUGAUCAUUUUUAUUGGAUUUUUUGUCAGAUAUUUAAUUCUGGACAAUUGAGUAAGCGGAAACCAUUAAACCAUUAAACUAGAAUUAGAGCAACAAUCAGGGCCGUGCACAGACCUUUUGAGGGGCAUGUGCUGAAACUGAAAAAGGGCACCCCCCUCCCUUUUUUUAUAUCAAGAUUAUUUAGCCAUACUGUUACUAUAACAUAUCCAACAUGUAUCCGCCUACCUGGCAAAAAUUUGAUACUGUGGUGGACCAGGGAUGUUGGUCUCUUGAAGGUUUCUUAUUCACUACACUUUCCCUAAAAUAAGCCAGCAAUGAAAAAAUAAAUAAAAAUAGUGUGAAAAGUACAGUUGCAGUGAAAAGCAUUUCUGAAGGAUCACGUGACACUGAAGAGUACUGAACUGGAGUAAUGAUGCUGAAAAUUCAGCUUUGAUCACAAAAAUAAAUUACAUUUUAAAAUAUAUUCAAAUAGAAAACAGUUAUUUAAAAUUGUAAAAAUAUUACACAAUAUUACUGUUUUUGCUGUAUUUUGGAUCAAAUAAAUGAAGCCUUGGAAUGAAUCAUGAAUUACAUUCUGCAUGAUAAAAUAUAAAGAUUUCACAGUGAUCUUCUGUAAACCAUGUUUUACUACAUUUUAUACAUGUGAGGACGAGCGGAGAGUAUACCAUAACAUGAUUAGCCUAAAUGUUAAUAAAUUAAGUGUAUCAGCAAUCAUAAAUCAAAGAAGAAAUUUCUUAUAUAUGUUAUCUAGGUGACGAGGAUCACUCGUCGCUUUGUGUAAGUUCCAGUACGAAACAGCGCGGGGGCGCACCUGUUAUGAUUUUCCGAUGGUAAAAACAAAUUAUAUGUUGUUGUAUUACUUAUCAAUAUAUAGUUUUUGACCAGCGAAUGUGUGCAAAUGUGAAUUUUGUUUUUUUGUCCGUCAUUAAAACGGCGACGGCGCCUCACAUUACAUUUUCAUCUACAGGUUACAAACUAGUUUUUGUAGCUAUAUAGACGGAGCGCUCAGUUUUUCCUGUGGUAAAAUGCAUUUGGCCAAAAUCGCAUUUUAUAAAAGAUGAAAUGCUACUGUAUGCACAGGCUAUUUAAGUGUUGGCUAUGUAUUGGCUAUGACUAGAUGGCAAAUGCUAGCCCUCUCUCUCAGGCGACGUCCCACAUGUCUCAGUCAGUGAGUCAGUCAGACAUCAAAUAAAUAAAAUAUGAGCCUUUAUAGACA